rnacentral:lncRNA from 1 species
UUUUACCAAUUUUAAAAAAUAAGAUGAUAAGUACAAAAACUAAUAUGUAAGAUAUUUUCUUAUUCUUUUACUUAUAUGGUUUUGUUUUGUAUCAAUUUAGUGUUAAGAGUUUGAUAAUUUAAUCAUAAAAAUAGUUCAAAUUUCAUAUGAGACAAACUAAGAAACACCGUUUUCACAAACUUUACCCCCAACUUUUCUCUCCUAAUCACGUGAUUCACGCUUGUGCAAUAGCUCUUGGGAGACAAUUUGAGGGAAAGAGAGAGGUGCAAUAGAGAUGAAGAGAUGGAAAACAAGCUCAUCACAUUGAAUUCAAUGCAAAACAUAUGAUCAAAACAAUGACUCAACUCUUACACAAAGGUUCUUUUGAUCUCUCUCCAUAUAUGAAAAAUGGAGUUCUUAAAUAUGGUAUUCAAUCCUUUUAAUUGAUGUAUCGUCACUUAGGUGAGUUAUCUACUUCUCGAUUUCAUCAUUUUAAAAAGAAUCUUUCAAUCGGGGAAGUGAAUGCUUAGAUUAAUUUUCUGACUACAAAAAAGAAGUCGCUGAAAAAUCUAAGCCUUAAAUGUAUAAUUGACCACGUGUUAUAAUACAAUCACAUUUUGUAUACUUUGUUAUUGCUAUCAACUAUAACUUUUUGCCUAUGUCUUGAUAUUUUUGUUGAAUUAACAAAUUCAUAUCAAAACAAUGCAAUUAGUGGUGGUGGUUUGGUUUUGAUGUUUUUGUGUUGGUGGUGGAGUUUUAUUUUGUUAGGACCUCUGUUGUCAAAGCGGCACGACCACCCGAAAAAUGGACGCAGUGCAUGAUGCGGGCGCGUAUCGAGGUCUAUUUCAGUAACGC